UCCGACCUCAGAUCGGACGAGAUUACCCGCUGAAUUUAAGCAUAUAACUAAGCGGAGGAAAAGAAACUAACAAGGAUUCCCUCAGUAACGGCGAGUGAAGCGGGAAUAGCCCAGCACCGAAUCCCUCAGUGUCAUGCUGACGGGAACUGUGGUGUGUGGGACGCCACCAGUCGCAUCAGAGGGCGCCGAAGUCCUCCUGAUCGGGGCUUCACCCAGAGCGGGUGUAAGGCCUUUGCGGGUGCCUCUCUGUGCGGCCGCGAGCGUCUCAGGAGUCGGGUUGUUUGGGAAUGCAGCCCAAAGCGGGUGGUAAACUCCAUCUAAG
rnacentral:rRNA from 4 species